UCCCUGCACCAAGGUACAGGUUCCUCUCCCGUCCAUCACCACCCUCCCCACCGUCAGGGGCUAAUGCAGGGUGUUAUCCACUGUGAUAUUUGGCGGGGUCCGUGGGACCUGGUCCAAAUAAUUAUUAGACAUCAAGGGGGAUGUCGACGAACCCGAACCGCCGUCUGAAGAUUGGCUUUCGCCGUAGUAUGAGACCAGGCAUGGACCUACCUGAAUGCAGCGAGACAAUUAGUGGAGGAUGUCACGGCCUAUUCCAUGCGCUCUACAGGACUAAUACACAACGGUUAGAGCUUGGGAUCUCAGAGGCCCCCCUCCUAAAUUCACUCUCAUCGAGCCCCCAUUGAGAUCGAUCCUCCUUUUUCUAUAAGCACUUGGUGGUGUCCAGGAGGCUCCCAUGCAGUUUUGGAGGAAGCUCGAGCUGCUUAAUGAAGAAGAUGAAGAAGACGACGACAAGACGGUUGCAUUCCUUAAGAAUUCAGAUUGGAUUUGAGCAAAACUAACUGGAUCGAGCUGAAGAGCCUGAGCGCCUGUGCGUUGUUGUUCUUGGGUAUGAAUCACUCCAAAGUGCGUUACCAAGAUGGACUUUCCUGAGUUGAAAAGAAACUGCAUCUACUUCGCUGAUGACGACUGGGAGAGAUUCCAGAGCACGGAUCCCCUGCGGGCUGUCUACGGUUUUGAAGAUGGAAGCAUUCCCUGCAAUGACCAUUAAUUAAAGUUGAAUUCCUCCAGUCCGGUUCACACAGAGUCUUUAGUACUGUUAGCAGUUUUUUCUUUUAAAUUAAAUUUUAUAUUUAUCUGUAAUAGGCGUACUGGGUCAUGUUGGUUAGUUGGUUUAGUUAAUCAAUUUUUAUUUUAAAGAGUGGUUGUAACUAAUAUUAAUCUCUCCUAGCGGAGGGAUCUAAAAUAGAGAACAAAAGUAAUAUUUCUCUUCU